AGUACUGUGGACAGGAGAGUUGUACACAGAGCCGAGGAGAAGCGUGAACAAACACAAGUAACGUUAGUGCCAUAAAGUGAACAUUUGACACUAUCGCAAAGCUUUUCAAGACUUGCCACUUUUACCGCGUGGAUCCGUCUCGUACUGUCAUCAGAGAAGAGCUUAUAACGCGCGCACUUCAGCUGGUAUGAGCUAACCCACCAGACAUGGAAACCAAACCUUUCUUGUCAUUGGGGUUCCUGAAGCCCCAGUGCUCAAUUCCACCGCAUCCUCAGAGAGGACGAGAAGUAUGUACGUGUUUCACCGGCAUGUGUGCUCUUCAUCAACGCAGGCUUUCUACAGAUUUCCGACCGGGCUCGUCCAUAACUCAUGCCGAAUAUGUCUGGUCUUGUAUGUAGAGCCUCCAGGAAACAAGAUACAUCUUGCGCCACAUGCGGACACAUACACAAAAACGCCUUGUGAUCUGAAUCGGAGUCUGACCUCCUGCCAUGUGUUAUGGCACUGUAGUGUAUGAUUUACAGUU